rnacentral:lncRNA from 1 species
UUAUAUAUAAGCUAACUGAUCAUUACUGUCAGUGAAUGAGCAGAUCUACGAACUUUCAAUUGCCUUCAUAUUGAGUUAAUUAUAACUAUUAAUAAACUGAAUUAAACCAAACCCAUUUCCAGCUUUACAAGAUCAUUCAUUUGCCAAAUGAUUCUCAUACUUCUCAAACCAAAGUUGUAGUAAUUUUAAGUCAAACAAAUACCUAAAUAUCUAAUCUCACACAUAACAGACACAUCCGUGAAUAGAUUACAUAAUAUCAUGACAUUUAAUUAGAAACUAUAGCAAUUACAUUGUCUAAAACUGAGACACAUACCUCAAUAGCAAGAAACAGAAUUAACAGAACCAAACAAAGGGUGAGAACGGCCACAAAUUGAAGUUCGGCUCAAAAACGGAAUCUGAGAUGCGAACAAGACCUCGAUGGAAAACUUCUACCUCGAGCAGUCACCACCGAACCAACGAAAUAACAAUAAAACUCAAACAAAACUCCAUGACCGGACUUGAGUCAAUUUCUACUAAAAUCAGAAGAAACGAAACUUUGAAAUUUACAUGAACACCAUAACAAAUCUGAAAGUCGAAACAUCCCAACGAGACUAAAGCAACUGUAUCCCUGUGCGCUUUCGUGCGUAUGUGUGUGUGUGUCCGAGUCGUUCUCGAAAGUCAAAGCAAAAUGAGAGAUAUCGCCGCUGAAGGUUCUUCUCUAAGAAAUCUUGAGGUUUGGCUGUUGAAGCUCAGAGAAUCGAAUGGUAACUGCCUAGUUAUGGGGUUAAUUUGCACAGGCUUCAGGCGAAUCUCGCUGGCGAUGAAGGUCUGAAGAUGCUAGUCUUGGAGAGGAGGGGUCUUCUGGUUCGACGCUUGGUGGUGAAGGGUGAGUUCAAUUUUGGGGGUUUUUAGAGUGAGGGAGGUGGAUCUGGCAGCGGGUUGUUGUGGUGCUGAAGAUGGUCGAAGGCUGGAAUGGGGUGGGUGUCUUCAAGGUCAGAAAACGACACCCUUAGUCUAGGUCUUUUUGGUUCAGCUUUUGGUCUUGUAUUUUUGUGUAUUUUAGCUGAUUUCCUAGAGUGUAUUGCGGCUGAUUUUUUGUAAAGAGUAGGGAUCUCUUUUAUUUUGUUCCCAAGAAGAGUCUAGAAGGGUCCCUAGAGUUAGCUUGAUGGGUAUUGUGUAUUAGGUUUAAGGAAUGGGCUAGAAACUUGGGCCUUUAUGACUAGCUAUGCUUAAAAUUAGCUUAAUUAACUAAAAAUCUAUCCAUAUAGAAAUAUUAUCAAAAAUAUUAAUUAGUCCUACUUAAAUAAAAAUAAUUAUUGAAAUAAAGACUGACCGUUAAAACAAAAUUAUUUUUUUGGUAUUUUUCAAGAUUAAAAUGACUACCAAACAUUAAUGAAACUAUUUUUUGUAAUUUUAUUUUCUUGUAAUAAAAUAAAGUAAAAGAGUCAAAAUUAAUUAAAAUAACGCUAUUAGGCCUAAAUUAAAUAUUUAAAUACUAAAAUAUAAAAAAUCUUGGGGAGGGUCAAAAAUCACAUGUCUACAACUGCCCCUCUUUGACUGGAAACACGAAGAGUUUUCAGACAAAGAACGACUAGACAGGUUUUUUGACCCGACCCUUAUUUGGAGAGACUAAAACUAAGAGAGGGGAAUGUGUUCUAGCCUUAGUAUCUGAGCUGCCUACAUAUCCUUGGCUAUAAAGGAAUCAGGCCACGUGUAGUUCAGAGGUGAAUGAGGUGAUGAAGUAUGCCGAGGCGGAGAGCCGAUUGAGGUGCCGUUCCGCCGAGGUUCCGGUACGCAGUCCCAUUAUUACAUCAAAAUCAAAAAUGAAAAAGACUAACUAAGCCUAUCAACUAUGAGUUACAAGAUUCCUAUCUAUGAGUCUUGUGAAGCUUGAUCUUGAGUCUUGGUUGGUUCUUCAUGCAGACUCUGAUUUGAAUCUUGAUGCUCGUUAGCUGCAGGUAUUGGUUCAAUCUUCUUCAGCUUUUUCAAAUCAAGACGGGACAUGCAGAGCUUGUGACCUCAGCUACGUCUUGAGCAGCUCACAUCUUUCAUUAACUUCUGCAUUUGGAUUCACUUCUUGUCUUUCNN